rnacentral:rRNA from 1 species
UACGUAGGUGGCAAGCGUUGUCCGGAAUUAUUGGGCGUAAAGGGCGCGUAGGCGGCACCUUAAGUCAGAUGUGAAACCCCGGGGCUCAACUCCGGACGUGCAUUUGAAACUGGGGAGCUAGAGUGCAGGAGAGGUAAGUGGAAUUCCUAGUGUAGCGGUGAAAUGCGUAGAUAUUAGGAGGAACACCAGUGGCGAAGGCGACUUACUGGACUGUAACUGACGCUGAGGCGCGAAAGCGUGGGGAGCAAACAGG